CCACCUUUUCUAGACUCUCGAACGGAGUUAGCUAGUAUGAACAAGUUACUACUUUGAGUGUAUUCAUUAAGGCCUCUUAUAUAGACUGUUUAUGGUUUCAUUUUUCUAGAUGCUAUGUUUCAAAAUGAGAACUGAGUAGUGAAAGAAUAGGUUAUUUACCAAGAAACACAAGCAGGAUUGUAGUGGCAUUGAUGAGACAUUGUUACAUGAUUGUAAAGCUUUAUAUUUAUGCUACCACAGAGAACUAUCAAGAUAGAGAUGAUGUACAUUACAGUAUGUACUGUAUGGUGAUACAUUAAAAUUUGUUGAAGGACUCAUAAUAAUAAUCAAUCUAUUGGGUCACUGAAGAACAGAAUAAUCAUCAAUAGUUAUAAUGAUAAUAAUUUAAAUAAUAAUUUUUUAGUACUUAGCACAGUG